GACGAACGCUGGCGGCGUGCUUAACACAUGCAAGUCGAGCGGUAAGGCCUCUUCGGGGGUACACGAGCGGCGAACGGGUGCGUAACACGUGGGUGACCUGCCCUCAGCUCUGUGAUGUGCCUGGGAAACUGGGUCUAAUACCGGUUAUAACCUUUCCUCGCAUGGGGUUUGGUGGAAAGUUUUUUCGGCGUGGGAUGGUGGCGUGGCCCAUCAUCUUGUUGGUGGGGUGAUGGCCUACCAAGGCGACGACGGGUCGCCGGCCUGAGAGGGCGACCGGCAAAACGGGGAGUGAGGCACGGCCCAGACACAUACGGGAGGCAGCGGAAGGGAAUAUUGCGCAAAGGGCGGAAGCGUGGCGCAGCGACGGGGCGUGGGGGAUGACGGCCGGGGGGUAGAAGACCUCUGUCGACACCGACGAAUUUGGACGGUAGGGGUAGAAGAAGCACCGGCCAACUACGUG
rnacentral:rRNA from 1 species